UGCUCGCCAGCCUUUCUAUGCUCCUGUUCUGCUUUAUUUCAGGAGCAUAGAAAGGCUGGGGAGCA
rnacentral:miRNA from 1 species